AGUCCUCGGCGUCCCGCAGCGCCUGCCAGGGUCGCCGAGCCUCCCCUGCCUCCUGGCCGCCUCUGCAGUGCCGUCCUCCCGGGGCUGGCUCUCUCCCCAGGCCCCCGCUUUGGCCACCCAGGCACUUUCCGCCCUGAGCGUGGCAGCUGCUGCCGGGGGUCCUGGGACCGCGGGAUGGGAACUCCCACGCAGCGUCCCACAGGCUCCUGGCCGCCGCGAGCCCGCGCGACUCGCACGAGCAUGUCCACCCGCAGCGAGGGGCCGGUCACUGCUACGGAGCCCGCCAGAAGGCAAAGCCCCAGACAGCAAAUAGGGAGGCGGCUGGCACCCAGGGAGGCCGAGGCGGGAGGAUCGCUGGAGCCCAGGAGUUCGAGACCUGCCUUGGCAACAUAGUAAGACGCCCCCCCACCCCCCGCCCACCAUCUCUACAAUAAAUUUAAGAAUUAGCCUGGCAUAGUGGCGCGCGCCUGUGGUCCCAGCACUUCGGGGAGGCUGAGGUGGGAAGAUCACCUGCGCCCAGGACGGUCGAGGCUGCAGUAAGCCGAGAUCGCGCCACUGCACUCCAGCCUGGGCGACAGAGCCCAGACCCCGUAACAAAGCAAAAAUGAAGGAGGCGGCGGUUUACUUCUGGAAUAACUGCAGAAGAUCAUCAAGUGCAGGGAGCUGUGGAACUCCCGGGCGCCCAGCCCUCGGCGCCCCUGCACCCUCAGCCGUAGAGCUGGGGUGUUCCGGCCCGGAGGGAUAGGGGUUUGCAGGGUGCGUGAGCGCCGAGGCUGCCCGCGAGGCGAGAGAAUUGCGGGGGGAGGCAGGGAGGCCGACGGGGAGGGCCUGGGAGGCUGCACGCGCAGCGGGGACCCGGCUUUGUCCCGAGCAGUUUCCAGGUAAGAGCUGAGAGGAGGGGAGGGAGGGAGAGGAGGAGAACCAGGCCCGGAUUUUCCCGCCUGGGGUCAAACCAAAGCAAACAAACCAAAGUGGUGUGUCCAAAGUGAUGCGCCUCACAGGUGCCUUGCUUCUGCCCCUGCCGGAGUUGAGGUUUGGAGGAAGGGCACUGUGCUGAGUCCCAGCGGGGGUUUUGUAAAUGCUGCGGUAUUGGUCUCUCACGGUUCACGGAGCAAUCACCACACUUGCUUGACCUCCUGGAAAGCCUUACUCUCUUUUUAUAAUUAAAAACAAUUUUUUUUGGCCGGGUGCGGUGGCUCAUGCCUGUAAUCCCAGCACUUUGGGAGGCCCAGGCCGGCGGAUCACCUGAGGUCGGGAGUCGGAGACCAGCCUGACCGACGUGGAGAAACCCCAUCUCUACUAAAAAUACAAAAUUAGCCGGGCGUGGUGGUGCAUGCCUGUAAUCCUAGCUACUCAGGAGGCUGAGGCAGAAGAAUUGCUUGAACCCAGGAGGCGGAGGUUGCAAGUGAGCCAAGAUUGCGCCAUUGCACUCCAGCCUGGGCAACAAGAGCGAAACUCUUGUCUCAAAAAAAAAAAAGAAAAAAUUUUUUUUUAGCGACAGGGGUCUCACUAUGUAGGCCAGGCUAGUCUCAAACUCCUGGGCUCAAGUGUUCCUCCAGCCUUGGCCUCCCAAAAUGUUGGGAUUACAGACAUGAGUCACCGAGCCCAGCCAGCCUUACUGUUCAGAAUGAUGUCACAUCUUUGUGGACUGUUGAAAAUAAGGUUGUCUUCCUCAGUCUCCUAGAAGCCCCAAAAUAGCCAUGCAGAUGUCCAAGCAGUUCUGGUUUGAUUAUCAAGGAGCAUGUGUAAAAUAGCUACGUGUGAAUGGGGUCUCUGCAAAUGGAAACUGGCGGGGGAGGCUCAGGACUCUUAAGAGGUCUGCAGGAGAAAGUGCAUAAUGAACACACACCCAUGGCCUCUCCCCAUGUGCCAGGGCAUCCUCCCACACAGGCCGAAAGUGCUCUGCAGAACAAAGUGCUUUUGGUCCACAAAACGCCUCCCAGCUCUUGCCUGCAAAGGGAAGAAAGGAUAGCUGAGAAUCAUGAAGCAGAAUGCCGGGAGAUUUAUGGAAACCCCCUCUGAUAGCUCAAUCUAAUUGCAGCUCCCUCCAGCGUGCCAAAUGCUGCUAAUGGACAGCCGCUCCUGCCGCUCUGAUGUUGCUAGACCUCCUCAGCACUCAGCCCAAGGCAGCCAGGAAGAAUGAACGAAUGGUGAUUCAGAGGGAAAGGAGGAAGCUGCGUGGCAUUUCAGAGAUACUUAUUUUAAAACUGCUGGUGGCCAUGUCUUCUUUUCAUAUCAGAGCUAAUGAGUUUUGAUAUGUGAACAUUUCUUCUCCUUCAUAGAAAACUCUGCUUCACAAACACAGGAUAUUGGAAAUGGAAGUGGGCUUUUCAGUGCUUUGGGAACAAUCACAGGAGAUUCUGCCUUGGCUGUAAUCCAGAACGUAUGGAGAUUUGAAGUUGUCGCAAACAUACUUUGAAGGCCACCAGAUGCAGCUGUACAAUUGAAGUCCAUCAGCUCACUUGCCUCAAUAAAGCCUGCCACUGCA
rnacentral:lncRNA from 1 species